UGUGUUGUGGCUCAGUGGUGGAGUGCUUGCCUGGCAUGUAUGAGUCACUGGUUCAAUCCUAGCACUGCAUAU
rnacentral:tRNA from 1 species